rnacentral:tRNA from 1 species
GCCCCGCGUAGCUCUACGUCAGAGCAGCUGUCUGGUCAGCAGCCGAUCCAGGUUCAAUUCCGCGGCAGGGGCACCA